UACAGAGGAGCCAAGCGUUGUCCGGAUUGACUGGGCGUAAAGCGCACGCAGGCGGGGGUGCGCGUGGGGUGUGAAAUCUGGCCGCUUAACGGCCAGGCGCCAUCCCAUACGGCACGCCUGGAGCCUUGCAGAGGUCGGUGGAAUUGCCGGUGUAGUGGUGAAAUGCGUAGAGAUCGGCAGGAACACCCAGGGGGAAACCAGCCGACCGGGCAAGUGCUGACGCUGAGGUGCGAGAGCGUGGGGAGCGAACCGG
rnacentral:rRNA from 1 species